GUGCCCACCCACCCUGGCAGCGCCCGGGCCGAGGUUCUGUCCUACACUCCGGCUGUGGCUAUGGGCAGUCAGUGCAUCACAGAACUUGGUCCCGGGAGCUCAGCAGCGACGGGGGGCGAC
rnacentral:pre_miRNA from 7 species